GGGACAGUAGCUCAGUCCGUUCUAAUGAGACUAAGGAGAGCAUUCGACUGAAGCUCGAAGUGUCGCGAGUUCAAAUCUCGCCUGUCCCA
rnacentral:tRNA from 1 species